AGAAAAAGGUACUGGUUCCAAAUGACCAAUUAAGGGCUAGGUUCUUCUUACCCCUGUGUUGCUUAGCUCUCAACAUUUUUUUACUGUCUUGUCUGUCUACUAGGUGUCACUGGCAAAACAAGAGUAAAAAAAAAAAACGAAGAUCUAAGCGACGCUCCAACCUCAGAUUUGUCAAAGACACGUGGUUCCCUUCCUUACAUUGGGCAACAGUGUUUACUCUUUCCAGGUGACAGGUGUCACUGUCAGUGGCAAAACAAGUUAAGUUAUCAAACUGGACAAGCCAAAAGACUCAAGCAGUACAACGGCAGACUUAUCAUUGUGGUUCCCCUAUAUUUGGAAAACAAAAAGGUGGCGAAAAAAGAGGAAGAGAACCGUAGAAGACGUGCAAAGUACAACCACAGAUUUAUUCACCUACAUUUGGCAAGGAUUAGGAAACAGUCCACUUGUGCUGCAAAGUGAAGAGUCAGACCAGGUGAAGAUGGAUGCAGUUGCCAGCGAGACAGACACUGAAUUUUUUAAUUUUGUCCCCC